AAUGCGAUUCCUUCGAACCCGGGAGCUUUUCUUCAGGGGUUAUAAAUCACGUGAGGUGGGAGAGAAAGUCCCCGCGCCCUCGCGAAGCUUUUUCCCAAGCUCGAUAGCGAGAACUGGUAACGCAGCUACUAUACCUAGGACUCCAACUGGCUUCCUAACCUCAACCUGUCACGAUCUACCCAUGCACGAGAGGCACUAGCACGUCCUGUCACACGUAUGUAGUCCCAACCUAAUGUGGGACUCAUUCGCUAUGUAUAUGAAUGCUCUUGGCACUCAAAUGGAAAAGGGUUCUCGCAUCGUGAAUAUGAAUUCAUUUAAAGGCUUUACACUAUAUCCAGCCCACUUUAACCUCAACGAGUGUCAGAACGAAAGCACAUCACUUUCCAAGCGGCGAAUGUUUCUUCCUCGGCGGAAAUUUAGCGGAUAUGAGACUUAUCGUUCCUCGCCUGACUUCCCGUCGAAGGACUGAGGAGUUCAGACAUCUUGCCUUACAGUUGUUCUGCCUG